UAAAGAUUUAUCGGUAACGGAUGGGGGAUGCGUGACAUUAGAUAGAUGGCGGGGUAACGGCCCACCAUGUCCACGAUGUCUAGGGGGUUCUGAGAGGAAGGUCCCCCCACACUGGAACUGAGACACGGUCCAGACUCCUACGGGGAGGCAGCAGUGAGGAAUAUUCGGGUCAAAUGGCCCGGGAAGGCUGAACCAGCCAAGUAGCGUGAAGGAUGAAGGUUCUAUGGAUUGUAAACUUCUUUUAUGAGGGAAUAAAACCUCCCACGUGUGGGAGCUUGUAUGUACCUUAUGAAUAAGCAUCGGCUAACUCCGUG
rnacentral:rRNA from 1 species